rnacentral:rRNA from 1 species
AGUGAACGCUGGCGGUAGGCCUAACACAUGCAAGUCGAACGGCAGCACAGUAAGAGCUUGCUCUUACGGGUGGCGAGUGGCGGACGGGUGAGGAAUACAUCGGAAUCUACUUUUUCGUGGGGGAUAACGUAGGGAAACUUACGCUAAUACCGCAUACGACCUACGGGUGAAAGCAGGGGAUCUUCGGACCUUGCGCGAUUGAAUGAGCCGAUGUCGGAUUAGCUAGUUGGCGGGGUAAAGGCCCACCAAGGCGACGAUCCGUAGCUGGUCUGAGAGGAUGAUCAGCCACACUGGAACGGAGACACGGACAAGACUCCUACGGGAGGCAGCAGUGGGGAAUAUGGGACAAUGGGCGCAAGCCUGAUCCAGCCAUACCGCGUGGGUGAAGAAGGCCUUGGGGUUGUAAAGCCCUUUUGUUGGGAAAGAAAAGCAGCAGGUUAAUACCCCGCUGUUCUGACGGUACCCAAAGAAUAAGCACCGGCUAACUUCGUG